CUAACAAAUAUGAUACAGUAAGUCAGUAACACAGAAACAAAACAGAGCCCUUCGCUGUUACAGGUUGGCCUUGUAGUUUCCUCAAUUAACAGGUCAACAAAAGUGUCUGAAGCACUGUGAAGUCAUUUGCUCUUGGGAUAAUCAAUAUAUGGACCAACAGCGCUCAACAAAUUAAAGAUAAUAAUUCAAGGCUCACAAUGUUAUAAACCUACCUCGGGUACAUUACGCUACAUUUGUUUAUAAAACUGAAGCAUGGGACAAGAUCCAGAAAGCUAACCCAUCCAUCGAUGCUGUUAGAAAAUCAAUAGCGAGCUGCCAAAUCAACUAGGUCUUUGUAGUCAUCAGGAAUGUAAGACUUCACCUUAAAUGAUCCCUUUCCCGGAGAGAUGUAUUUCAAGCCAACAAGCUUCAAACCCUCAUCAACCCGUCCAUAUAAUAAUCUUUCGCCUUUCCAAUAUUCCAAAGGCCUUGUCUUCAUUCGUUUGCUUCGUCUAACCCCACUUUCAAAUGAUGUGCCAGCAUCUGCUAGACUUGGCCUAGAAGAAAGAUGUUUUCUUUCACGCCUUCCAACAGCAAGUUCCUUUGCUUUCUGUUGCUUAUCUUUUGCCUGCUUGUGAUGCUGAGGGCUCAUCUCCGGAAAUUUAGGUCUCACGUCUCUAGAAGGAACUUCAACUCCCACUGAGUUCAAUUGAUCACUAUUUAAGUCUUUGACAGAAUCCUCAAAGUAAUGAUCUUGUUCUGCAGAAGGCGCUGUUUCUGGUAGCAUAUUGUCAACCAGCGGAUCAAUUUCAGUUGAUCCAAAAUCCUCAACAGCUGUUUCUAUGGUAUAAUUGGCUGUAUCGACAGCUUUUCCUUGGGCUUGAAGAGAAGGUAGUGUUUCAGCAAGAACUUCACUAUCCUGCAGCUUUUGACAGUCAAUGUAGGAUUUGGUCUCAAGACCUUGUAGAGCCUUCAAAACAUUCUUUAUAACUGAAUCAUCUUUCACUUUGUCAAGCCCAUCAGACUCAUGGUGGGAAUCCACAUUUCUCAUAUUUAAG
rnacentral:misc_RNA from 1 species